AUCGGCCGCCAUGUUAGGAGUGCUAGGACGUUUCUGCGGAGCUGGCUGAGGUUUUAGGGAACGCGGGAGCCGAGUGGUGGUGCAGAGGGGACGAGUCUGUCUACACUAUGAAAAGAUGGGAAAUUUCUUUCUUCCUGAGGGUGUCAGAAGGGCUAAAGAUGCCGAUAUAUUUGUGCUGUUUUUCUCCUUUCCUUUUGUGUAUUAUCCUGAAAAACAAAAUUAACUGACACUUUGGGUCAUUAGGGGUAUGCACUUCACUUGUUAGGAGUUAAAAUUAUGGCUGAUAAAUGGAUUAUCGUAUCAAGGAAAGACUAGGCAGAGUGAUUAUAAACGACAAAAGCAUGGUCCAAAAACAUGUCUCAAAUGUAUGCAGAUGAUAACUACAAAAACAGUUUUAUAAAGAAUGAUCUUAUAUAUGUCAUGUUUCUGGGAACAAGGCAGAUGAGUGGCUUUGUUUCAUUUUUAAACAAAGGUAGUAUGUAUUGGCCUCACUUAUUCAUGGAUACAACAAUGGGAAGAGCUUAUGAAAUUAUUUGUUAUUCAGAAAUACCUUCUUUGCAAAUAACGUUGUAACGUAAAUGAGCUGCUGUUUCUCUCUGGGAGUUUAACUGGCAGAAUAAAUGGAAAGAUGUCAGCAAAAGAAGGAAGCAGCGCAAAGCUGCAGCAUGACUGGGUCAUAAGCCAGUAAACUGCCUUUGGCCGCCAGAUGUUACUGUUAACAGUAGGUAAUACGCUCUUUUCUUCUGCCAGGCACAUUCGCAGUUAGGCAUGCAGCAAUUGUUUAAUGGAUAAAUAAGUUGUUAAAUUAUAACACUUUGAUGGAUUGCUCAAUCCUUUAAGUAAUAGUUGACUUACAUCCCUCUUAUAACCUGAUUCUUUUGUGACAGAUGUUAGCUAGUGAAGUGGACUGUUACAGACAAUGAAGGAAAUAGAACAUUGUUUAUGAAACCCUAGAUGGCCUGGACAGGAGACUAAAUUGGAAUCCUUAAUUCCCAGUGCAGAGUGGGCCUUGAUAUUUAAGAAUAAAAAUAUUAAUAGCUGAGCUUUAUGUCAUGUGUUUAAUGUCAUGACCAUAAAGCCAUUACUGUAACACUAAGUUUAUCUUCUAAAGGAAGCCUGUGAAAUGUUUCCAGAAUGACUUGGUUUUUAGUGAUAUUAAUUAUUGUUUUCCUUCGGGACCUGAUUCUUUGUAGAUUCCAAGAUGAUGCAGUUUCGUCAAAGGCUGUUUCAUCCUCAGUUUCUUUAAAAAUAAAAAAUACUCUGCAAUUAGGUAAAACAUUUUUAGAUGGACUACCGCCAUCUGGUCUCUUUUCCUGUCACCCAGGUUUUUCAUCAACCACAGCUCUAUGAAAGGACAUUGAAGGGUCUCCUGUUACACACAAUAUACUAAUGCUCAUUAUAGAACAUUAAAAUAAGAUGACAGCUUCCAUUAUCAGCCUACACAAUAAUCUUUCCCUACCUUCUGUCCUCUUAUUUCCCACUUAGUUUGUGUACUACUAACUAUAUUGAGGUAACAUGACCACUAAGUUUGAAGAUUCUUUGAGACCAAGAGCUAUACCGUAUUUGUUUUCACAUUUCCUUCUGUGCUUAAAACAGGACUUCUGUUUCUUCAGUAAAUAUUCAUUGAGUAUCCACUAGGUGUCAGAUAUUAUACUAGGUAGAUUCUGGGGACACCAAGGUAACUAAACAGGGAACAUGCUAUUCAGAGUCUAACAGUCUUGUGGAGGAGAAGUGGAAAAAUAGAUCUGUAAGUCAAAAAAGCUGCAGUGUAAUAUUAUAGUGGAAUAGAUGAUUUCCUGGUUUAAGAGUUCUAAAAAAAUCAUUUCCAAAAACAUCUCCCCAGUAAGUCUGACUCAGUGACUAAAUUUCCACCACUAGAAUGUCAUUAUAAGACAUUACACUGUGGUUGCUUCUGGGCAGGAAAACUAAAGGAUAUUAAUGGGCUGUGAAAUCACUUUUUUAUUCCCCUUUUUAAAGUUUUUAGAUUUACAUAGUACAAUUCACU